UACGUAGGGGGCGAGCGUUGUCCGGAAUUAUUGGGCGUAAAGAGCUCGUAGGCGGUUUGUUGCGUCCGCCGUGAAAACCUGCAGCUUAACUGUGGGCCUGCGGCCGAUACGGGCAGACUUGAGUUCGGUAGGGGAGACUGGAAUUCCUGGUGUAGCGGUGAAAUGCGCAGAUAUCAGGAGGAACACCGGUGGCGAAGGCGGGUCGCUGGGCCGAUACUGACGCUGAGGAGCGAAAGCGUGGGGAGCGAACAGG
rnacentral:rRNA from 1 species